GGGUAACAUCACGACCGCCUCGCUGACCAUCGCCGUGACGGGCGAGGACGACGGAGCGACGAUGACCUGCAGGGGCGUGAAUCCCGCCCUCUCCCGAGGGGAGCCUCUGACGGACCGGAGGAAGCUCAUUGUCUACUGUGAGUUCAAGAGAUGAGCCUAUCGUAGACCUCAGCUCGGGAAGCCUUUGGAGGCCGAGAACUCAAGGAAGAGGACGACGUCUACUUCGAGUGUCACGUCAAGUCGAACCCGAAACUCCAUCGAAUUGAGUGGUACCAUAACGGCCAGGAAAUCCUCCAGGACAUCAACGCAGGAGUCGUCGUCAGUCAGCAGUCGCUCGUCAUCAGGGGCGUCGUCAGGAGUCACUCAGGGUCCUACACCUGCGUCGCCACCAAUGCUCAAGGGCGCGAGUCAGUAAUACCUUUUUCCU